GGUUUGGUGGUCUAGCGGUAUGAUUCUCGCUUAGGGUAUACCCUAAACAUUAUUGCGAGAGGUCCCGGGUUUAAUCCCCGGCCAGACCC